GUCCAGAUUGUGGCUGAAGCUGAAUUUUAUGAGCCUUCCCCCAAAAAACUGGAAGAUUUUGCCAUCUUACAAGCCCUCUUCCUUAAGAAAGAGAAAGAUGAGCAGUAAAUAUCCUCUGGCACGUCGGCACAUUCUGUCUCUUCGUGUUUUCAUGAAGUGUUCAUGACAUGGGAUUGAAGUACUCCUUUGUGUUCAGUAUUUGAUAUCAAAUCCUUUACAAGCUCUCCUGUACUUCUUUUUCAGGGUGAGAAAGCUUGGUGUUCAGGACAAUGGAUGCCAAAUAGAAGAUAUGGCCAUCGCUCUACAGUCAAUGUAGAAAAUUGGAGCAUCACAGUGUCAGAUCAUUCCCACGCUAUCAAACCAAAUAUGACCAGGCAAGAAACAGAACGGAAAUGGAGAGGAGAGCCCAGCAUGACUUGCGCCGUGCCAAAGGAAUACGUGUGAGUUGGCUUCGUGUCAUCGUAACAAAACCCUGAGAGAAAUAUCUUGAAAGAGCCAGGUUGGUCCAGACCUGCUGGCAAGCCUGCAGCCCCAUCCACCGAUUACCUAAUACACUUGUGACAUCUGCUUUCCUUGUUGUGAGAAAACACAGGGAGGAAGUGUGUGCAGAAGGGGUGAUGCCUGACCUACACACCCGGCAAUACCAGAAGUUUCACUACCUUCCGUUGGUAAACGCUUCAGGGAAGGCUCUGCAACCCUGAACGUGUUUUAUUGUAGAACCUCACUAGGAAACUCAUCAGUAUUUAUUAAAGAUGAAUUAAAAGAAGGAGGAAAAGGAAAAACGGGAUAGUGAAGAGAAUAGAUGAAUGAAAAAGAAGCAAAGGGAAGAGAGGAGGAAGGGACAAAGAGGGCAAGAAAAGAGAAAAGAGAGAUGAGAGACCAGGACUUCCCACCUAACCUUACCAAACUUUUUCAGUUGAGCUUUUAAUGGGAUACUAUUCCCAAGAGGAAAUUCAAAAAGAAAACCACCUUGAAACAUCCUUGCUUUUAAUUGUACUCUUUCAACUGCCAGGAAAUUAAUUAGGUAAGACAAAAAGAAAAUUUUCUACCUUAAUAAAAAGAAGCCAACACCCAGGAACAACUGUCUUUGCUUGAGAACAGUGUUACGUGUACAAAGCUGCCUACAAAGUGUCUCCCGCCUGGCUCAGGCAAGAAACUGGGACAGAAGUCUGUGAUGUUAUACCAGCCUGGGAGUCGUGCAUGGUCAUGUCAGUGUCGAGUGCACCAGGCGACACAGGGACAUGCCAGGCACCGCUCCUCCAGAGAGACUUGCCAGGUAUACAUGUUACCUCUCUCCCUUAGGCUUCACAGACUCGGCGGCCUUCCUCCAACCACCUGUCUCCUUAGGAAGUUUGAGAGAACUUUCUCCUCUGUGAUACAAACAGUAACCAAACAAAGCAGUAAACAAUCCAGUGUGGAAAGCACAUACUAAAGCUAAGAUUUAAUGUCACUGAAAUAAAAUCAUAACAACAAAAAACUCCAAGUACCCUUUCUUUGCAUAAUGUAUUUCAGGUGUCCAGCUACAGAGGCCAAGCCUGUGAUUUACAUCAAGCAAAGAGUCCUGGGAGAAAGAGGAGGAAAGACCGCCUUUGCCUGGGACAAGAUUCCUAUUUGUGUCAAGGAGAGUUAGGGACGAGAUGGUUGAGGCAGAGCAGCUGACUGCAGUCUUUAUCCAGUUUGCAUUGCUUUGGGGAAAGCCUUUUAACUGCAAGCCGGAUUGUCCAGAUGCUGGGCUGUCCGGAUGCUGGAUGGUCCAGAUGCUUUGUCGUGGUUGUUCCCUCUGAGUUUCCUCUGCCUUCUGGCUCCUCUUAGUCACCUUCACAACAGGGCUUUAUCAGGACUCUAGAGCAUCGGGCAAGCUCAGGUCUCACCUCUCCUUUUAAUUCUGCAGGAGUCUAUGCCAUGUACUCCAGCCCUGCAUAGAAUGAGUUCUGGAGUUCACCUGGAGCCCACGGAGAGUGGAUGUGGAACUUUUCUGUAGAACAUAGGAGCCGUCUGUACCGGCACAGCUUCAGCCAGCAAUAAGCAUUACCAGCUCCUGCCAGAGGAGCAAGAGGCAGCCACUGAGCUAUAGAGAUCCACACUCCGUCCCUCGUACAACUGCCGCUGUGACCACCUUCUCCUUUCUGCUUUAUUACGUCUGAGAAGCAUUUCAUAUGAUAACCUUCCCUUUCACUCUGGCCUGGACCCUUAUUGAAAAGGAAGAAGCAGUGGAAGAGAUCAGACAAGCAGUGUUGUUCGAGACACUUCCUAAUUCCCUUAACAAGGGUUAUGAAGUUUCGGCUGGGAAAAAGGACAAGGGGCAGAGACAGUGUUUAUUUACAGAAUGGUUCUAGAAGAGCUGACAGGCUUCGAAUGGCCGUGGGUUGUACGGUUUUGACAUUUAACAAUUUUAUUAACA
rnacentral:lncRNA from 1 species